rnacentral:rRNA from 1 species
UGUUUGAUCCUGGCUCAGAACGAACGCUGGCGGCGUGCCUAACACAUGCAAGUCGAGCCGUGAAAGUCCCUUCGGGGGCGAGUAAAGCGGCAGACGGGUGAGUAAUACAUAGGUAAUCUACCUUCGAGCUUGGGAUAACCCUGCGAAAGUGGGGCUAAUACCGGAUAAGACCACACGGCGUAAGUCGCGUGGUAAAAGGUGGCUUAUUUUUUAAAUGAGCUAUCACUCGAGGAUGAGCCUGUGGCCUAUCAGCUUGUUGGUGAGGUAAGAGCUUACCAAGGCUAUGACGGGUAGCUGGUCUGAGAGGACGACCAGCCACACUGGGACUGAGACACGGCCCAGACUCCUACGGGAGGCAGCAGUGAGGAAUCUUGCGCAAUGGGGGAAACCCUGACGCAGCAACGCCGCGUGAGUGAGGAAGGCCUUCGGGUCGUAAAGCUCUGUCAGAUGGGAAGAAAUGGGUGGGGGUGAAUAUCGUCCACCCUUGACGGUACCAUCAGAGGAAGCACCGGCUAACUCCGU